GGAACCCCCAGCAGAGAGGCCGGGCACCUGACCGCACGACCUGCGCUGCGCGUGGACACUGCGGAGACUCCGGACUUUUCCGGUUCUGGAGGCCACAGUUCCUUCUUUGGCUGUGAAAUGUGGUGCUGUCAUUCGUUGCUUCCUUCCCUCCCAUCUGUGCUACAGAUACAGCUGAGAAAAGGACAAAGUCCCCGUCCUCAAGGAUGUACAUGAUGAGAAGGAAACAUGCAGGUUAGUAGGGAACUCAAGAAGGCAGCAGAAGAUUCUUUAGGACAUGCCCAUACCUCCCACAAGUCUUCUAAUAGUGAAGGGAUAAAUAACAAGUGGGCACAAUGUGGA